rnacentral:lncRNA from 1 species
AAAAAAAAAAAAGAAAAAAGAAGAAGUUAAAAUCUUUCUCAUGAAAUUUAGGUUCUGUUUGGAUGUAUAAAUAUUUUUUCUAUAUAAUCUCUUGAUUAAUUUAAAAAAUUUGUAUAUUUGAUUGAAAAGGAGUGUGAUCACAUAUUUAGAAUGAAACAUUAUAUUCAGAUUUUAAUUUUUUUUUCAGAAUAAGAUAAAUCACUUAAUAGCUGAAACAUGUUAUGUAACUUAUGUUACCAAAUCGUGGAUGGUAAAAUUUUUUAAAAGUAAAAAAUUAAACUUCUUACUUAUAAUAAUACUAAAAAAUUUUUUACACUGGGAUCACUUUAUUCCUACAUCUAAACAUGGCCUCAGAGAAGUA